rnacentral:tRNA from 1 species
GAAAAGUACAGUCAGGUGUAUGGCUAGCUUGAAACUAGUUGGUGGGGGUUCGAGUCCCUCUUUUCUUG